CGGGAAGUAGCUCAGUUUGGUGGAGCACUUGGAUGGGGUCCAAGGGGUCGCAGGUUCAAAUCCUGUCUUUCCGACCA
rnacentral:tRNA from 1 species